UCCUCUUCAACAUCCCAGGCAAAACAGCUUGUGUAACUUUAGUCGUGCCUUCCACAUUUACCUUAAUCAAGUUCUUCAACAACUCCUCAUCCACUUCAUGGAAAAACCUCGCGUAGGGAUAUGAAACCCCAACGUUAUUAAUCAAGACACCAACAUCCAAAUCUGCAAUGGUCUCCUUAAUUUUCUUAACGCCCUCGUCGAUAUCGCCACUGAAAUCAACAACAACAUUCUUGAUUUGGACCUUGCCAUAUUUGGAC
rnacentral:misc_RNA from 1 species